rfam:Afipia sp. 1NLS2 ctg00004, whole genome shotgun sequence.
AUUCGUUCAUUUACGGCACAUUAAGCUUUCGGGUUUAUGACCAGACUGUCCUUGUUUGGACACCGAGUGGCUCCUGUCCACUCUGUUUGACGCCUCCCUGUUAUCAACUUUCAAAAGCCGCCGGUUUCCGGCGGCUCUUUUUUU